UUACGGUCAUAUCAUGUUGCAAUACCGGUUCCCGUACGAUCUCCAAAGUUAAGCUACGUUGAGCCUGGUCAUUACUUAGAUGGGUAACCGCUUGGGAAUGGCAGGUUCUGUAAG